GAGGGUAUAGCUUAGUGGUAGAGCAUGUGCUUAGCAUGCAUGAGGUCCUGGGCUCAAUCCCCAAUACCUCUG
rnacentral:tRNA from 1 species